CUUGAAGUCCACGCUGCCAGGCCCCCCUGGGGCAGUUAACACAAUGAAUGAUUUACUCAUUGCCAGUUCAUCUAUAUCAAAUUACAGGUUUUCUUGAGUCUCAACAUUGACUCAUUUUUUUCCUGCAGUUAAUGUGCUUGUGGAGUUGUUCUUUUGAAGGGAUGCCGGUUCUCCUUCUCAAUGCAGGAAUGAUCAUUUAUAGGUAAGGAGUAAAAAUGUGAAGACUUCUGCAAAUAUGAGGCUGGGUCAAACUGGUACCCCACCACCACCAUUCUCCCUACCUACCCAUCCAGAUCUAGGAACUUUAGAGGUUCUCUUUUCCUGCUGGAAUAUUGGAAACACAUCUACAAAGUACUACAUGAGUAGAAUGUUGGAAUUCUUAAAGAAAAGCGCUCACCACCUGAAAGGGAUAUAAGGUGACCAAGGGUCAAACUUCAGUGACCUUCAGAGGCCACCCUGCCAAUGAAGGAACCCGCUGUGUUACUGCAACCUAAUGCCAGUAUGGACUCAUGCAGCAAAAUGACAAAAAUCACUGAAGGGGAAACGGGCAUCUCAGCAAGUGAAAGAUAUAUUGGCUGGUCCUCUAUUAUCACCCCUCAUUUGUUUUUUGCUUAGUAGAAGAUUUCCUGAUUUGAAGAGACAGGUUUAUUUUGGAGACUGUGAAACACAAAUGCACAAAACAAAAGGCAUAUCUGGCAGCCUAAGAAGCAGUUUGCAGUUAAAAACACAAUGAUAUAGACCAAAUUUAUCUCUCAUUCCCUGAACCAGCAGCAGAAGCAGCCAGUGCACAUGUCUGGCAAGAUCUAAGGGAAGAAAAUCUGAACCAGAAAGAAUGUGGCUGGCUUGAGGUCUGACGCAAAAGAAAAAACUUAUAAAUUUCCUCAUAGAACUCAUAUUAAAAUGGGAGUUUGGAUUCAAGCAACUAAACACUGAAAUUAAAAUUCUUAUAUGGGGUAUUUGUAGUUUCCAAUUAUAUCUUUAUGAUAUUUUCUCUGUGGAAGUUGAUUGCUGUUCAUUAUAAUAAAUUACUUGAAUUGUCUGUAUCUUUACUUAACCAUUUCUUUUCAUGUCUUUGCUUUCUUUUGUUCUUUUUAAAAGUAGAAAAUGCUCAGUUGCUAAAUAAUGAAGACUUAAUUUUUUGUUUCUCCCAAAUUUUACCUUACUCAUGAUCAUUAAUAAUUUUCAGAAGGGUUCUGAACCCUUCUCUUUUCUUGUGAACUCUAGAAAAAUGCUAGCUCAGUAUGCAUAGUACUCCAUCCUUAACCAGCUAUGUUAUUGCUUUGAACCCUGUUCUCCAACUUACUCAAGAAACUGCAGUUAAAUAUUAUUGGGAUCCUUUUUUUUUCUAUAACAAACACGUUUCUAUGUAUUUUAUGGAUAAUUAAAUAAAACUUGAACUCUGGGCUUAAGGUUUUUCUCACUGACUUGUCAUAGGAAAUACAAAAGUAACAGAAAUGAAUUUGUGGCUUAAAAGCAUCUUUUAGAGGGCCAGGGAUUUAGCUCAGUGGUGCUGUCCACUGCCUCACAAGCGAAAGGUCCCGAGUUUGAUCCGGUACCAAAAAAAAGGCUUCUGUGACCUACAUUUUUUGAGACAAUGAAAGUAAGGAGUCAAGAUCUUACAUGAUAAAGUGAAAGACAUCACUACCAGGAAAGCCAGUUAUGUGAAACAACCGUGUGAACCAUGUAAAAGCUGGAGAGGGGUGUCUUGAGAACCAGGGCUCAGUUUUGUCACAAGGGUUAGGUCAAUAGAAUACCAGUGCCACAUGCCUGGCAGAGUUCUUGCCACAUAGAUGUUAGUUGCUCCCUGGAUUAACCCCAGCUCUUGCUUUAUGGAUUCCUUGCUGACAUACCAUCAUAUUUAUCAGUGCUCUUACCUGUUUCUUUCCUUUGUCAAGGUUGUCAUCCACCUGGCCCUGCCUACGCAGCUGCAGCUAAAGGGCAGGUUCUCAGAUCAUAUGCCUCUCCCCUACUUUAUUUCCUUUUUUAAAAAAUCACCAUUUGGGACUUAGAGUUGGCUACUCAGAUUAAAAAAGUGUCUAAUUUAAUUUGGAUCAUUGAACCUUCAUUUCACUUUGGCUCGUUCAACUUAUUGAAUCAGACCAAAUUCUCAUAGUCCCUCAGGAAAUACCAUCUUUUACCCACAAGUUGGCAAAGGACUCCCAUUUUCAAAGAGAUAUUCAACCCAAUAACCAGAGGAGGUCCUGUGGCAGUCAAGAUUGGUCAAGGAAACAUAGGUCACUAUAAUCAUGACUCAGCCCUGGUUAUUAUCAUUGGGACAUAAUUUCACCUCUCUGCUAUUUCUAGCCAAUCUAUUUCUUAUCUCUCUUCUGCUUUUUCCUUUAUAUUUCAGCAAAAAUUCUAAGGUCUGUGAUCCAUUUUCAUGUUCGCCAAGAUCACAUUGGCACAGAAAUUUUUCUGCAGCCUUCCCUUGAGGACAACAUCACACUGAAACUUUCUGACCUUAAGCUAAAGGCUGUGCAAGCCUCUUAGCUACUUGUCUUCUGAUCAGCUUCUACUCCCACCUCCUCUUUUACUCAUUCAUUUCUUUCUUCCUUUCCUUAACACAGGUACUCCAUAGUUCUUUCCCCAUCUCUCUCCAGCUUUCUUUCAUCUGACCCUGAAAGACAAAAUGCUGAUAAGCUCCCUUCCCUGCUUCAUUAAAAAAUUGCCAUUAAAAUUUAUAGCUGGUUUAGGCUGGCCAUCACUGAUCUUCUUGAUUUAGUUACCGCCAAGAAAUGCUUUAUGAUUAUCCACUGACUUAUUUAUAACAAACAUAACAAAGUCCUUGGUGUUAGCAGCCUGUAGAGAAAUUAUUUGUUUUGAAAAUAGAGUGGAUACUUAAAGUUCUCUGUGAAGAAUGGGAGUGUUUGGGUUUGUUGUACUUGCAUAUUUUAUAUAGAAAGGUAAAGUCUCCAAGCCUCAAUAUGUAAUAACAUCAAAUCAUUUUGUUGCUGUGUAGAAAAUGUGUGUUCUAAGGUUGCACAGAAAAUUUCCUAAUACUUCUUAAGCACUGGUUUCAGUAGGCCACUGGUGAGGCUGGUAAGUGAAAACAAAGUGUACUGGUGAGGAUUAAAUGAUUCAUUGGCGGAAACUGUUUGAACAUCUAAAUGUGAUGAAGUUAGUUGAUUGUAGAAGAGUAAUUUAGAAGCUAAUGUAAUAACCACCUGUCUUGAGUCUGCUAUUUGAAGGAUGGUCAGAGAAGGAAUGAAUGCAGUGUUUGAAAUGUCUCAAUAGUGUUGAGUGUUCUGAUAUGUGUGAAAGUGAUCUGUUCUCCUUGGCACUCUGUCAAUCACUACAUGAGUUUAAGGUGUUCUGCAGUAUCCAAAGUCUUUUAACAGAUGCCUUUUGUCCUGAGAAAAACAGUGCAAUCACAUAGAACAGGCCAAUAAGAACAGUUGUAAUGCUUGUUUCCAAGGAGAAAUUGUGGCUGUAUCUUCUGGAAGUAAACACCAACAUUAUGGUGCCAGUGAUUGCUUUAGCACUUCACUGUCACAGAAGAAAUCUGAUGUCCACAGAAUGGUCAUAAUAUUCUGCCUUCUGUGCUUAGGAUCUGGCAGUAAAGACCAAGUGUCCAUACCUGUACUACUAUUGAUUACUGUAUAUUCCUUUGCUGAAGGCAGUGCUAUCUUAUGGGGUGUUGCAGAUAUAGAAGAGCUUGGUGGUGAAGGUGGAAGAAUAAAGACUGGUUUCUGCUGGUUCAAGUGGACUUUACCUAAUAAAUAUGGGAGCCAAGAGUAGAAGAACCAAUCACAUCAGGGAAAGCCUUCAAUAGCAGUUUUAAUGAGGUGCCUGGAUAAUUCAGGAAGUGUGGCUAGAUAAACCAAGUUCAAGUGAGGGUCCCACGUGACCCAAUCAAUUUCCACAUGAUAAUCCACAGAAAGCACUGUGUCAAAAUCACAACAAUGACAACUGAAACCUAAUCUUUAUCUCUUAAAAAUCAGCAAGGUAGAUUCGGUUUAUAAUCCACCAUAAAACACCUCUCAAACUCCUUUUGGUUCCUUUCCAACUUCUCCGACUCCAAAGCUGCUCCAGAAACAUUCACAUCCCAAAUAUCAAAAUGCUUUUUCACAUACCAUGUGGCACAUGUGAGCUUUCAUCACUUAUGCACACCUUCAGCUCUUAGUUUGCAGGCUCUACUCAGCCUCUCUUGUUUUGCUUUGCUUUCUCUUGUCCUUUGUUGUUUAAUGUGGUUCUAGCAUUUAAAAAAAGAUUAGGAACUAGUUUGGUAAAAUUCUCUUAGAAGCUAAGACAAGGGCAAGUGAAGAGUCUGAGGUAAAUACAAAGUUCUCUCAUUAGCUGGGGUGGAAACAGCAAUCUCAAACCAUUGCUGUGUUAAAAUAUCUGGUCCUAUCCCAACCUACAGUAAGAGCUAACAUUUAUUAGGAGUCAACAAAGUUCACGCAUUUUGUUGAGUAUUUUUAUAUAAUUAUGACAUGAUAAUUCUAAUUUAUCUUACAAAUUUGUAACAUCACUGUAAAAAUAAGGAGACAGUAGUUCAGAACGACUGAAUAACUUGCCAAGGCCACAUCGCAGGUUAAUAACAGAAUUAGGAUUUCCGAACCUCAGAAACCCUGCAAACACAGUGUACCUCAGUUCAUGAACACUAGUUUGCAAACAAUUUGGUUUACAAACAGAAACUUUUGGAAAAAUUUUGUUUUUGUUUGCAAACUCUACAUUGGGUGGCAAACAUGCCCGCAGUCGUAUUUCCCACACAAACACCAUCAUGGCCAUCAUUUCCAAAAUCAUAGAAAAAAAAUUAAGUUCGUGAAUCAAGAUACCACUGUAUCAUAUUCUUAAUCAUUAUAAACUCUAUGAAUUAGCAUCUCUCAAUGGCUGAGAUUGUACUGAGAUUAAAGCAAUUACUGAAACAUUGAUGCUGUUUGAAUAUAAGAAAUAUAAUUUAAGAAAUAUAAUUUAAUUCCAUCCUUUUUUUGAGGUAAGUGUAUUAUUUUGGACCCAACUCUGUAUUAACAAGAUCUGUAUUAGCAAAGGUUAGACACUUGUCUACAAAUUAGUACUGAAAUGUCCCAAUAUAAAUGCUUGUGAUUUGGAAGAGAAAUUCAAAAUUUAAAACUUCUCUUAAAAUUUUUUUUAACUGUUUCCUAUCCUCUGCCCAAAUGAUCAGCAGGAAUUCUAUAGCCCAGGGUUAAAAUUCUGAAUUUGUUACCCCUGAGUGGUUCACACCUCUCCACUCUGCCUCUUCUUGGAAACUGGAGGAAGGUUUUAGGAAGGAGGGGGAUUAAAGAGCUCAUGAGCACGUGGCAGUGAUGGAGCAUGGACCAAACCAGUCCACCAGUUUCUCUGGACAAUAUGCCACAUCCAACAGGAAUUAUUCAUUACAUUUCUACUUUUUAAAAUAAAUUUUCCCUUUGGUAUAAAUGUUUUCUUGCUGUUUUUGUACCCUGAUCAAAAGUGAAGUGCUAUUUCUCUAAUGACAUUCAUCAUUACUCCUGGGAAGUUAAGCCUUAAGUUGACACUUUCCACUUUUCUCUUUUUGGCAGAUGCCUUCAACCAGUACAUGCUUGAGUCAGGAACUUUCCUCUUUUAGCUGUGCUAUGUCACUACAUUGGUAGUGAGUCUCAAGCCAACUCCUUUGGCUGCUGUUUGGUGAUCUUUCUAUUGAGAUUAGAGUUUGAGUUGUUUUUAUAAAGGACAUGAAACAGAGAGGGGAAGGUGAGGCUGAACAUAGAGCUCUGACCUUAUAUUUGGAGGCCUUGGCCUUCUAGGUUCUAACAAACAUCACAGCUUACAAAAAAUCAUUCUAAGGCUCCCAAACAAUUUCUUGACUCUGUUAUAGAUGGAGUUUAUGGAAUUAUUGUAAGAGAUCUGCACAUCCCUAUGUAAAGGGAAUAAAUAAUAUAUCUUACACAUAUAUGUGCCAUUCAUUUCACACAUGAAAAUAGGUAAUGUUGUAAUCAAUACGAUACCAAUUGUUUUCCUUACACUAAUACAAUUAAAUUUAUUUGAUAGUAUGUAUUUACUUAGAGAUUCUACUACUGUCACAAGAAAUUUAUAAACUCUCACAUAAGAAAGGAAUCCCCCCCCCCAACCCGGUACCAGGGAUUGAACUCAGGACCUUGCACUUGCAAGGUAGGCUCAGUACCACUGAGCUACAUCCCUGGCCCCAGGAAUUCUCCUUUUUAAAGAGUUUGGAAUCACUAAUCUAAAUAAUGGCGGCCCCCGCUGGGACUAGCAAAAUAGAAAGAAAUAUAAAAGAAGUCAAAAAUACAAAGGCACUGCUAAAAAAAAGCAAGAAGUCUCUGCCCAAAGCUAUCAAUUUCUGUAGGGAAAUUAGCUGACACAUCCUUGCUUUACCUUGGAGCUCCCAAAGGCUGCAGCUAGAUUUAGCAUGGGUGUUAGAGCACCGUGUGUCAGCAAACUCACAGGAAGAACCCAUCAUUUCUACUGAUAUUCUGUCUAAGCUUCAGAAUAGCAUAGCAUUCAGGUGCCUGCUUGUAUCUUAAUGUUUCUGACAUUUUCCUGAGGAGAAAUAAUAGAUUAUGAGUCAAUGUGCAAAGGGAUAAAUGAAGAGCUCUCUCCAAUUGUGAAAAUCCUGCUUCAAGUUGUUGAUCAAAAGGUUCAUCCAGAGAGCACAGCAGGGAGGCCUUCUGCGACAGGAAAAGCAGGGAGUUCUGAAAAUGCCUAAAUGCCUGAUGUGUGACAGCAAUGCCUGUUCCCAUGGUGCUGCUGCUUCUGAGAAAGCGCCAAACAGACAAAGAACAAGGCAGAAACGGCCUCCUCGCUGGGGAUGAAAAGAAGCUGCUCUGAUGAGGGAAUCAGUUUACCGCUUCUGCCGCUAAAAUUCUCUUCGUCUGUCUCUGGUUUUCUUUAUUAUGCACCCCAGAAAAAAUCGCUCCCUCCCAAGACAAC
rnacentral:lncRNA from 1 species